CUACGGGAGGCAGCAGCUAAGAAUCUUCCGCAAUGGGGGAAACCCUGACGGAGCGACGCCGCGUGGAUGAUGAAGGCCGUAAGGUUGUAAAAUCCUUUUGUUGGCGAAGAAUAACCUGGGGAGUGGAAAGCCCCAGGGAUGACGUUAGCCGACGAAUAAGCCCCGGCUAAUUACGUGCCAGCAGCCGCGGUAAUACGUAUGGGGCAAGCGUUGUUCGGAGUUAUUGGGCGUAAAGGGCGUGUAGGCGGCUCAUCAAGUCUGGUGUGAAAACGCAGGGCUUAACCUUGCGGAUGCACUGGAAACUGGUGGGCUGGAGUUCUUGAGGGGAAGCUGGAAUUCCAGGUGUAGGGGUGAAAUCUGUAGAUAUCUGGAAGAACACCGGUGGCGAAGGCGAGCUUCUAUCAGAGGACUGACGCUGAGGCGCGAAAGCGUGGGGAGCAAACAGGAUUAGAAACCCCAGUAGUCCC
rnacentral:rRNA from 1 species